UCCCAAUUCCCCAAUUCCCAAUUCCCCAAUUCCCAAUUCCCAAAUUCCCCAAUUCCCAAAUUCCCGCCCCAAAUUCCUGCCCCAAAUUCCCCAAUUUCCCAAUUCCCCAAUUCCCAAUUCCCUCCCCAAAUUCCCAAUUCCCAAAUUCCCAAAUUCCCCAAAUCCCCAAUUCCCCAAUUCCCAAUUCCCCAAUUCCCAAUUCCCAAAUUCCCACCCCCAAAUUCCUGAAUUCCCAAAUUCCCAAUCCCCAAAUUCCAGCCCCAAAUUCCCCAAUUCCCCAAUCCCCCAAUUCCCCAAUUCCCAAAUUCCCAGUCCCCAAAUUCCCAAUUCUCAAUUCCCAAAUCCCCAAUUCCCAAAUUCCCAAUUCCCAAAUCCCCAAUUCCCAAAUUCCCCAAAUUCCCUCCCCAAAUUCUCAAAUUCCCUCCCCAAAUUCCCAAAGAAUUCCAUCCCCAAAAUUCCCAAAUUCCUGAAUUCCAUCCCCAAAAUUCCCAAAUUCCCCCCUCAAAUUCCCAAAUUCCCACCCCAAAUCCCCCAAAUUUCCUUCUCAAAUUCUGAAAUUCCCUCCCAAAAUUCCCUCCUCAAAUUCCCAGGGCAUUCCCAAAUUCCCACAGACUCUCCUUCUCCCACCCCAAAUUCCCAUUUUUCCCCAUUUUCCCCCCAAAAAUCCCAUUUUUUCCCCAUUUUCCCCCUGAAUUCCCAUUGUUUUUCCUGUUUUCCCCCAAAUUCCCAUUUUUUCCCCAUUUUCCCCAAAAUUCCCAUUUUUCCUCUAUUUUCCCCCAAAUUCCCAUUUUUUCCCCGUUUUCCCCCCAAAAAUCCCAUUUUUCCCCAUUUUCCCCCAAAUUCCCAUUUUUCCUCUAUUUUCCCCCCCAAAAUCCCAUUUUUCCUCUAUUUUCCCCAUAAAAUUCCCAUUUUUUCUCUAUUUUCCCCCCAAAAAUCCCAUUUUUUCCCCAUUUUCCCCCUGAAUUCCCAUUUUUUCCCCAUUUCCCCCAAAUUCCCAUUGUUUUCCCCAUUUCCCCCAAAAUUCCCACUUUUUCCCCAUUUUCCCCCCAAAUUCCAUUUUUUCCCUGUUCACCCUCAUUUCUCCCCAAAUUCCCCAUUUUUUUCCUAUUUCCUCACCCAAAUUCCCAUUUUUCCCCAUUUUUCCCAUUUUCCCCCAUUUUUCCCACCGUUUUUCCCUGAUUUUCCCUGGAUUUUCCCCAUUUUUUCCCAUUUUUCCCAUUUUUUCCCCAUUUUCCCCAUUUUUCCCAUUUUUCCCCGUUUCCCAUUCCCGGUGUUUGUUUUUCCCCGGUGUUUUUUUCCAUGUUUUCCCCUUCAUUCCCGGUGUUUUCCCCUUCAUUCCCGGUGUUUCCCCUCAUUCCCGGUGUUUUCCCCUUCAUUCCCGGUGUUUUCCCCUUCAUUCCCGGUGUCAUUCCCGGUGUUUUCCCUCAUUCCCGGUGUUUCCCCUUCAUUCCCGGUGUUUUCCCCUUCAUUCCCGGUGUUUUCCCCUUCAUUCCCGGUGGUUUCCCCUUCAUUCCCGGUGUUUCCCCUUCAUUCCCGGUGUUUUCCCUCAUUCCCGGUGUUUUCCCUCAUUCCCGGUGUUUUCCCCUUCAUUCCCGGUGUUUUCCCCCUCAUUCCCGGUGUUUUCCCUCAUUCCCGGUGUUUUCCCUCAUUCCCGGUGUUUUCCCUCAUUCCUGGUGUUGUCUCAGCCUCGCUGACACUGGUGGACCUGGCGGGCUCGGCUGUUCCCGGUGUCAUUCCCGGUGUCAUUCCCGGUGUCAUUCCUGGUGUUUUUCCCUCAUUCCUGGUCUCAUUCCCGGUGUUUCUCAUUCCCAUUCGCGGUGUUUUCCCCUUCAUUCCCGGUGUCAUUCCCGGUGUUUUCCCUCAUUCCCGGUGUUGUCUCAGCCUCGCUGACUCUGGUGGACCUGGCGGGCUGGGCUGUUCACGGUGUCAUUCCCGGUGUCAUUCCCGGUGUUUCUCUUUCCCAUUCCCGGUGUUUCUCUUUCCCAUUCCCGGUGUUUCUCUUUCCCAUUCCCGGUGUUUCUCAUUCCCAUUCCCGGUGUUUUCCCUCAUUCCCGGUGUUGUUUGCCCUCAUUCCCGGUGCCAUUCCCGGUGUUUUCCCUCAUUCCCGGUGUUUUCCCUCAUUCCCGGUGUUGGCUCAGCCUCGCUGACUCUGGUGGACCUGGCGGGCUCGGAGCGCCUGGAGAAGUCGGGAUCGGUCGGGAAUCGGCUGCGGGAGACGCAGACAAUGGGAUCAAUGGGAUCAAUGGGGAUCAAUGGGAUCAAUGGGAUCAAUGGGGCAUCAACUCCAGCCUCAGCGCCCUGGGGCUCGUCAUCAGCGCCCUCUGCAACAAGGUACCGGAUCAAUCCGGGAAUGAUGGGAUCAAUGGGAUCAAUGGGGAUCAAUGGGGAUCAAUGGGAUCAAUGGGGAUCAAUGGGGAUCAAUGGGGAUCAAUGGGGAUCAAUGGGAUCAAUGGGGAUCAAUGGGGAUCAAUGGGGAUCAAUGGGGAUCAAUGGGAUCAAUGGGGAUCAAUGGGGAUCAAUGGGGAUCAAUGGGAUCAGGAUCAAUGGGAUCAAUGGGGAUCAAUGGGGAUCAAUCGGAUCAAUGGGGAUCAAUGGGGAUCAAUGGGAUCAAUGGGGAUCAAUGGGAUCAAUGGGAUCAAUGGGAUCAAUGGGAUCAAUGGGGAUCAAUGGGGAUCAAUCGGAUCAAUGGGGAUCAAUGGGAUCAAUGGGAUCAAUGGGGAUCAAUAGGCUCAAUGUGAUCACUGGGAUCAAUGGGAUCAAUGGGGAUCAAUGGGAUCAGGAUCAAUGUGAUCAAUGGGAUCAGGAUCAAUAGGAUCAGGAUAAAUGGGGAUCAAUGGGAUCAGGAUCAAUGUGAUUAAUAGGAUCAGGAUCAAUGGGAUUGGGAUCAAUAGGCUCAGGAUCAAUGUGAUCAAUGGGAUCAAUGGGAUCAAUAGGAUCAUUAUCAAUGGGAUCAGGAUCACUGUGAUCAAUGGGAUCAAUGGGAUCAAUGGGAUCAUUAUCAAUAGGAUCAGGAUCAAUGGGAUCGGGAUCAAUAGGCUCAGGAUCAAUGUGAUCAAUGUGAUCGAUGGGAUCAAUAGGAUCAUUAUCAAUGGGAUCAGGAUCAAUGUGAUCAAUAGGAUCAGGAUCAAUAGGCUCAGGAUCAAUGUGAUCAAUGGGAUCAAUGUGAUCAAUAGGAUCAUUAUCAAUGUGAUCAGGAUCACUGUGAUCAGUGGGAUCAGCGGCCCCAGGGCAUUCCCGGGAUUUGGGGGAUCCCUGGAGUUUGGGAAUGGGGGAUGGGAGGAUCCAUCGGCCCCGGCGCCCUCGGGGCUGGCGGGGAAACGCCCCAGGUUG
ensembl:lncRNA